CCACAGGAUCCUCCAGCGGACGAACUUCCACAACACCUUCCGGACUCUUCUAUCGACCGACCUUCAGCCGGAUUCUUUGUAUAAUCGGACCUCUCCAACAGAUAAAUCUUCAAACAAGCUUCUGCAUCAUACAAAUUCUAGACGGACUUCUCCAGCAAUCGAAUUACUGCCGGACUUCUCCAACAGGUAGUUCUCGUCCAAGCUUCUACAGCAGGUGACUUCUGUUUGUAG
rnacentral:lncRNA from 1 species